UGGGGAAUUUUCCGCAAUGGGCGAAAGCCUGACGGAGCAAUGCCGCGUGGAGGUGGAAGGCCUACGGGUCGUCAACUUCUUUUCUCGGAGAAGAAACAAUGACGGUAUCUGAGGAAUAAGCAUCGGCUAACUCUGUGCCUAG
rnacentral:rRNA from 1 species